AGACGUCUACAUUAGAUACCCGGGUAGUCCCAGCCGUAAACUAUGCGCGUUAGGUGUAUCGGUGACCACGUGUUACUGAUGUGCCGAAGAGAAAUCGUGAAAAGCACCACCUGGGAAGUACGGUCGCAAGGCUGAAACUUAAAGGAAUUGGCGGGGGAGCACCACAACAGGUGGAGCCUGCGGUUUAAUUGGAUUCAACGCCGGACAUCUCACCGGAUAAGACAGCUGAAUGAUUGUCAAUCUGAAGGUUUUACAUGACUAGCUG
rnacentral:rRNA from 1 species